rnacentral:rRNA from 1 species
CGCUGGCGGCAGGCCUAACACAUGCAAGUCGAACGGUAACAGGAAGCAGCUUGCUGCUUCGCUGACGAGUGGCGGACGGGUGAGUAAUGUCUGGGAAACUGCCUGAUGGAGGGGGAUAACUACUGGAAACGGUAGCUAAUACCGCAUAACGUCGCAAGACCAAAGAGGGGGACCUUCGGGCCUCUUGCCAUCGGAUGUGCCCAGAUGGGAUUAGCUAGUAGGUGGGGUAACGGCUCACCUAGGCGACGAUCCCUAGCUGGUCUGAGAGGAUGACCAGCCACACUGGAACUGAGACACGGUCCAGACUCCUACGGGAGGCAGCAGUGGGGAAUAUUGCACAAUGGGCGCAAGCCUGAUGCAGCCAUGCCGCGUGUAUGAAGAAGGCCUUCGGGUUGUAAAGUACUUUCAGCGGGGAGGAAGGCGAUAAGGUUAAUAACCAUGUCGAUGACGUACCCGCAGAAGAAGCACCG